rfam:Danio rerio chromosome 12 genomic contig CTG1221, GRCz11 reference primary assembly.
GGCUCUAUGGGACAAUGGAUAGUGCAUUGGACUUCUAGGCUGUGAGCUAAGCCAUUCAAAAGUUGUGAGUUCCAGUCCCAUCAGAGUCG